UACGUAGGGGGCAAGCGUUGUUCGGAAUUACUGGGCGUAAAGGGCGCGUAGGCGGCCUGGCAAGUCAGGAGUGAAAGGCCUGGGCUCAACCGAGGAACUGCUUUUGAUACUGCCAAGCUAGAGUGCGGAAGGGGCAACUGGAAUUCCCAGUGUAGCGGUGAAAUGCGUAGAUAUUGGGAAGAACACCUGAGGCGAAGGCGGGUUGCUGGGCCGACACUGACGCUGAGGCGCGAAAGCCAGGGGAGCAAACGGG
rnacentral:rRNA from 1 species